rnacentral:rRNA from 1 species
UAAUACAGAGACCUCAAGCGUUAUCCGGAUUUAUUGGGCGUAAAGCGUCCGCAGGCGGCACGUUAAGUCUUUCGUCAAAUCUCUGGGCUCAACCCAGGGGCUGCGAGGGAAACUGGCGAGCUAGAGGUUGGGAGAGGCAAACGGAAUUACCGGUGUAGUAGUAAAAUGCGUUAAUAUCGGUAAGAACACCAAAGGCGAAGGCAGUUUGCUGGAACACACCUGACGCUAAGGGACGAAAGCACGGGGAGCGAAGCGGAUUAGAUACCCGCGUAGUCCGUGCCCUAAACGAUGAGUGCUGGAUUUUGGGAGUAUCGACCCUCCCAGAGUCGUUCAACUAAGCUAACGCGUUAAGCACUCCGCCUGGGGAGUACGGUCGCAAGACUA